ACAUGCCACAUAGCAACAUGCAGCCUCGAGAGAGGCUUGCUGUUUUUGGUGUUCGAGUGACCGACGGGAUGAGUAAAGUUAUCGGGUACGCGCCCUGUAGCGGUGCAAUAGCUAUCUCGAGAGAGAUGGUUAAUACAGCAUACGCCCUACGGGGGAAAGGGGCAUAUCUCAAGACCUCACACUAUUGGAGCAGCCAUGAUCGGAUGAGUUAUUAGGUGGGGUAAAGGCUAACCACGUCGCAGAUCUGUAGUGGUUAGGAGAGGUGAGCCAGCCAUACUGGGCAUGAGUCACGACCCAGAGUCCUGAGUGAUACAGCAGUGGGCAAUUUUGAACAUUGGUGGAAACCGUGAUCUAUCAAUCCCGCGUGUGUGAUGAAGGCUUUCGGUUUUUAAAGCACUUUUGUCAGGGAAGAAGUGACGAAAUGUAAUAACGUGUAUUUAUGACGGUACCCGUUGAGUAUGCACAUGGUAUAUACGUGCCACCACCCGCGCUAUUAUGUAGGGUGCAAGCGUUUUUUCGAAUUUUUGGGGGUAAAGGGUGCUCGGGGGGUUAUGGAAAAAAAGAUGUGAAAUACCCAGGGCUCAACCUUGGAACAGCAUUUUUAAUUACCGAGCUAGAGUAUGUCAGAGGGGGGUAGAAUUCCACGUGUAGCAGUGAAAAGCGUAGAGAUGUGGAGGAAAACCGAGGGCGAGGGCACCCCCUUGGGAUAAUAUAGACGCUCAGGUACGAAAGCGUGGGGAGCAAACACGAUUAGAUACCCCGGUAUCUCACGCCCUAAACGAGGUCAAAUAGCGGUUGGGGCCUUUAGGCCUUAGUAGCGCAGCUAACGCGUGAUAUUGACCGUGCUGGGGAGUAUUGUCGCAAUAUUAAAACUCAAGAGAUUUGAGGGGGACCCGCACACGCGGUGGAUGAUGUGUAUUAUUUCUAUGCCACGCGGAAAACCUUACCUACUCUUGAGUUGUCUGGAAUUCUGAAAAAAUUUCUUAGUGUCCGCAAGGGAACCGGAACACAGGUGCUGCUUGGCUGUCUUCAGCUCGUGUCGUGAGAUGUUGGGUUAAGUCCCGCACCGACCCCAACCCUUGUCUUUAUUUGCUACGAAAGGGCACUCUAAUGAGACUGCCGGUGACAAACCGGAGGAAGGUGGGGAUGACGUCAAGUCCUCAUGGCCCUUAUGCGUAGGGCUUCACACGUCAUAAAUGGUCGGGACAGAGGGUCGCCAACCCGCGAGGGGGAGCUAAUCUCAUAAACCCGAUCGUAGUCCGGAUCGCAGUCUGCAACUCGACUGCGUGAAGUCGGAAUCGCUAGUAAUCGCGGAUCAGAAUGUCGCGGUGAAUACGUUCCCGGGUCUUGUACACACCGCCCGUCACACCAUGGAAGUGGGUUUCACCAGAAGUACGUAGUCUAACCGUAAGGAGGACGCUUACCACGGUGGGA
rnacentral:rRNA from 1 species